UACGUAGGGGGCUAGCGUUGUCCGGAAUCAUUGGGCGUAAAGAGCGUGUAGGCGGUCCGGUAAGUCCGCUGUGAAAGUCGGGGGCUCAACCCUCGAAUGCCGGUGGAUACUGUCGGGCUAGAGUGCGGAAGAGGCGAGUGGAAUUCCUGGGUGUAGCGGUGAAAUGCGCAGAUAUCAGGAGGAACACCUAUUGCGAAGGCAGCUCGCUGGGACGUUACUGACGCUGAGACGCGAAAGCGUGGGGAGCAAACAGG
rnacentral:rRNA from 1 species